CUCCCUCCAGGGCCGGCUGCAGCAGCUCCUCCUCCUGCUCCUGCAGCCUGUGCUCUGCCUCCAUCUCCUCCAUCAGCGCCAGCUCCUCCUCGAACUGCGAUGGCUGAGACGGCUCCUCCUCAUCCCAGAGGCCCCCGCGGGCCCGCUUCGGAGGCACCCCGGGCCCCGGGCCCGGCCGCCGCUUGCCAUCCAUCCUGUGGGGCAGAUUCCCCAAGUUCCAAGUUGGUGCCACACCUGCUCCAUGACCGCCUCCAAACAGAAUGUGGUAACACGCGCACGUUGUCACACGACUGAUUUUCCCGAGUCAUGUGAGGCCCAGUGUGGGGCUUGAACUCACAACCCUGGGAUCAAAAGUCGCAUACUGCACUGACAGAACCAGCCGGGCGUCCCAAAGACAUCCUCUAAAACCAGCAAGCUCAGACCAGACCUCAACAAGCAGAAACGUCCUGAACAGACUGGAUAUGCGUUGCUGGCAAACGUUCAGGUUGGGAGAGAACGGAGUACGUCUCGGCAUCAGACGGGAGACACACUGGGUGGACGGAUCUCACAAACAGGCCGCGCGGAAGAGGCCAGACACACGGGGCGCCCGGGCGGCUCACGCCGGCUGAGCAUCAGACUUUGGCUCAGGUCAUUAUCUCACGG